AACGAACGCUGGCGGCAGGCCUAACACAUGCAAGUCGAGCGAGACCUUCGGGUCUAGCGGCGGACGGGUGAGUAACGCGUGGGAACGUGCCCUUCUCUACGGAAUAGUCCCGGGAAACUGGGUUUAAUACCGUAUACGCCCUUCGGGGGAAAGAUUUAUCGGAGAAGGAUCGGCCCGCGUUGGAUUAGGUAGUUGGUGGGGUAACGGCCUACCAAGCCUACGAUCUAUAGCUGGUUUUAGAGGAUGAUCAGCAACACUGGGACUGAGGCACGGCCCAGACUCCUACGGGAGGCAGCAGUGGGGAAUCUUAGACAAUGGGGGCAACCCUGAUCUAGCCAUGCCGCGUGUGUGAUGAAGGCCUUAAGGUUGUAAAGCACUUUCACUGGUGAAGAUGAUGACGGUAACCAGAGAAGAAGCCCCGGCUAACUUCGUG
rnacentral:rRNA from 1 species